GUUGAUUUGUAAUACACACGUGUUUAGAUAGGUUAGUCGUUAGUUUGUUUACAAAUUAUAACCACAGAGCAGCAGAUUGUUUUAUAACUGCGAAAACUGUACAGUAUUGUUUAGUGUGAGUUCAAUAUAAUAUUAUCUCAUAAUGGCUAAUAGAGAAAAGAGUGAUGGAAAAAAGAAAAAAAUGGGAAGGAUGUACGAGAUGAAAAGCAGAGAACAAUAAAGCAAAAACAAAGCAGGAAUAAUCCUGUGACUAAACGCCUGUACUUGGUGACAUCCAUUGUUUUCUUCUUUAAAAAGUGGACAUUACGCGACUAAUUUUUUAUUUUCUUAAAAACAAUUUAACUCUUAUGCUUUGUUUACAUUAGUUUAUAUUAUCAAUACAUUUUUCUAUCAUUA
rnacentral:lncRNA from 1 species